rnacentral:rRNA from 1 species
GAUGAACGCUAGCGAUAGGCCUAACACAUGCAAGUCGAGGGGCAUCACAUGAAGUAGCAAUACGGAUGGUGGCGACCGGCGCACGGGUGAGUAACACGUAUGCAACCUGCCUUCAACAAGGGGAUAACCCGUUGAAAGACGGACUAAUACCCUAUAACACAGGGGUCCCGCAUGGGAAUAUUUGUUAAAGGACAACCGGUUGAAGAUGGGCAUGCGUUCCAUUAGCUAGUUGGCGGGGUAACGGCCCACCAAGGCAACGAUGGAUAGGGGAACUGAGAGGUUUAUCCCCCACACUGGUACUGAGACACGGACCAGACUCCUACGGGAGGCAGCAGUGAGGAAUAUUGGUCAAUGGACGCAAGUCUGAACCAGCCACGUCGCGUGAAGGAAGACGGCCCUAGGGUUGUAAACUUCUUUUAACGGGAAUAAAGUGCCCCACGCGUGGGGUUUUGCAUGUACCGUAUGAAUAAGGAUCGGCUAACUCCGUGCCAGCAGCCG